rnacentral:rRNA from 1 species
GGUCUUGUACACACCGCCCGUCACACCACGGGAGUUGGAGACGCCCGAAGCCGAUUAUCUAACCUUUUGGAAGAAGUCGUCGAAGGUGGAAUCAAUAACUGGGGUGAAGUCGUAACAAGGUAGCCGUAUCGGAAGGUGCGGCUGGAUCACCUCCUUUCUAAGGAGAAUU